rnacentral:misc_RNA from 1 species
GGACAAGAAGCCUUUUUCUUAAGCUUGAAAGCUUCCAAGUUCCGAGAACUUACGAUCCACUUGACUAAAGUCGGUCAAUGGCAGAGACACACAUCAUUUUUACCCAUUUCCUUCAAGCUUCAUCUCAAAGAAGACGAAGUGGAAGGAGAAGGAAGCCAAACAUUUAGCAUCUGAAGCUACAGAUUCUAAUAAGAAUCAGAAGAGAUGGCUGUUUUUAGGCCUGGGGAGAGCAUAGGGUUCAGAGAACAGCUAGUCAAGAAAUUAUGCUCAAUAGACAUGAAGACUCACCAGUCUGCAGGAAAGUUAUAUGUUUCUGAAAAGAUUCGAAACUCAUCUGAACUUGUUUUUAGCUUCCCUGGAUCUUGGUCUGUAAGUGAUUGGUUUAUACGAAGUCCCUUUGGAGAAGUGAAGGUGGAUCUUGAGCUGUUCCCUAGUCUCAAACAUAUAGGUCUCAAUGAAAUUGCUACUGUUAAUGAAGCCUUUUUGAAUAGAUUCAGGGCAAUUUUGGCUAAUACACAAUUCAAGAAGGAGGUAUGUGAGUUCAUUAUUCUAUGAUGGGUUAUGCUACCGUCUUUGUUUAGUAGUUAGAUACUUCAUCCCACAUGUAUGUAGUUGUUUGUUCUUUUAAUCCAAUGUCAUUCUGAUUGAAUAUAUAAUUUUGGUUUGAUUGAUUGAUUCAUUUCAAAUUUCCUUGUGGUUUCAUGUAUGAAAAGUGAUUAGAAACAUUUUUCUGGUAAGAUUGGAAAGAAUGUAAAUUGGAGACUUUGCAAGAAUCUUUAAAGAGUUCUGAGAAAUGAAUAGUUAGAGCACAAGAAAACAUUGAAAGAACGAUUUGUUUAAUCAAGUUGAGUCUUUGUUUCCAAUUUUCUCAGGUGAGAACAGCUGUGACAGAUAGGAAGCCAGUUGUGUUUACAGGGCACUCUCUUGGGGGGCCUAUUGCUAUACUUGCAACUAUCUGGUUCUUGGAAGUGUACAUAAGACCAGACCCCAACAAAGAGGCACCGCUUUGCGUGACUUUUGGGUCUCCUCUUGUUGGAGAUCGCAUUGUGAGCCAUGCGCUUAGGCGUGAAAACUGGUCUCCCUACUUCAUAAAUUUUGUCGUGAGAUAUGACAUUGUCCCAAGGGUAUCACUCACGCCUCUCUCAUUUGUUGAGCAGCAACUGCAGAGAAUUCUAAAUUUCUUCAACCCAAGAUCCCCAUUUUACAUGCAAGAAAAUGUGGGUGAAGCCUCAGGCUUCUAUGUAACUGUGAUGAGGAAUGCAUUAUCUGUUGUGAGCCAUGCUGCCUGUAAGAUCAUGGGAAGUACAAAUCUUUUGUUGGAUACUCUAUCGAACUUUGUUGAGCUAAGUCCUUACAGACCAUUAGGUACCUAUGUCUUCUGCACAGGAAAUGGGAAACUUGUGGCCAUAAAGAAUCCAGAUGCUGUUUUGCAGCUACUGUUCUAUACCUCUCAGUCGAACUCUGAAGCAGUUGCCCUCAAUAGCCUAAAAGAUCAUUUGAACUACAAACAUGAACUGCAAGAAUGCUUAAAAAAGCAAAGUGUAACCUGUUUAGAUGAUAAUCAUCUGGAAGCACUUCCAUUGUCGAAUGAUGUAACGGUGGAGAUUAACAUGGUCUUGAAUGACCUAGGCCUGAGCACUAGAGCAAGAUUGUGUCUCCGUGCUGCUGGAGAGUUGGAGAAGCAGAAAAAGAGUAACCAGAAAGCAAUUGACAUAAAAAUGGAAGAUAUCAAGAGAGGACUAGGAAAACUACAAGGAUACAAAAAGAGAUGUCAACAUAAAGUGGGCUACUAUGAUGCCUUCAAGCUUUCAAAAGACAAAGAAGACUUCGAUGCUAAUGUGAAGAGGCUUGAGUUGGCAGGUAUAUGGGAUGAAAUAAUCGAAAUGCUGAAAAGAAAUGAACUCCCUGACGAAUUCGAGGGUCGGAAGGCAUGGAUUGAAAUAGGAACCAGGUACCGGCGCCUUGUUGAGCCCCUGGAUAUUGCUAAUUACUAUCGACACCUGAAGAAUGAAGAUACAGGGCCUUAUAUGGCAAGGGGCAGACCUAAGCGGUAUAAAUGUACCCAAAGAUGGCGAGAGCAUGCUGAGAGGAUGUCAAAUGAAUCCUUGGAAUCCUGUUUUUGGGCUGAGGUAGAGGAGCUCUGCAUUAAAUCUGGAAACCCAAGCAUCAGAGACAGAGUUUUGCAGCUGAAGAGAAGAGUUGAAGAAUGGAUUCGAAAUGGGGUUCUAGAUGAAGAUGUGUUCUUGAAUGGUUCCACCUUUGAAAAAUUGUUGACAGAGCACUCUUUAAAAAACUCAGAUCAGAAUGUUGUAUUUCAAGGAUCAUGGAGCUGAUCAUGAGGGACACCGUGCACGUAAUAAAAUAUAAUAUUAUUAUGCGUAGGCCUUGCGCUGUAAGGACUUCUGGUGUGUUGUACUUCUUUCCGUUAAUGUAAUGCAAGGCAUUUGGUUAAAGAAAUGUUAACUAUAACCACCUGCCUCUGCUUGAACCUUUUUACUAUGCUCUUAAUUGCAUUGCUUUUCUUUUUGAUCAGUCUACUAGAGAGAGGGAUGCAAAUUUAAAUUGCCCAAAAUGGUCCAUCACUCUUAAUAUAGCUUAGCAUUUUGCAUGUAUCUUGUAGCGUUGAAGGCAGUUCAAAG